UACGUAGGGUGCGAGCGUUGUCCGGAAUUACUGGGCGUAAAGGGCGCGUAGGCGGCCUGUUAAGUCGAACGUGAAAUCCCCGGGCUCAACCCGGGAACUGCGUCCGAUACUGGCAGGCUUGAAUCCGGGAGAGGGAUGCGGAAUUCCAGGUGUAGCGGUGAAAUGCGUAGAUAUCUGGAGGAACACCGGUGGCGAAGGCGGCAUCCUGGACCGGCAUUGACGCUGAGGCGCGAAAGCCAGGGGAGCAAAGCGGGG
rnacentral:rRNA from 1 species